rnacentral:rRNA from 1 species
UACAGAGGGGGCAAGCGUUGUUCGGAAUUACUGGGCGUAAAGGGCGCGUAGGCGGCCAACUAAGUCGGACGUGAAAUCCCCGGGCUCAACCCGGGAACUGCGUCCGAUACUGGAUGGCUUGAAUCCGGAAGGGGCGAGUGGAAUUCCUGGUGUAGCGGUGAAAUGCGCAGAUAUCAGGAGGAACACCAAUGGCGAAGGCAGCUCGCUGGAACGGUACUGACGCUGAGGCGCGAAAGCGUGGGGAGCGAACAGG